rnacentral:rRNA from 1 species
GAUGAACGCUAGCGGCAGGCCUAAUACAUGCAAGUCGAGGGAGAAUGUUGGAUUCGUCUGACAUGAAACCGGCGCACGGGUGCGUAACACGUAUGCAACCUACCUUUAACUGGGGUAUAGCUCAGAGAAAUCUGAGUUAAUCCCCCAUAAGACUACGACAUGGCAUCAUGAUGUAGUUAAAGCUCCGGCGGUUAAGGAUGGGCAUGCGGUACAUUAGCUAGUUGGUGAGGUAAUGGCUCACCAAGGCUACGAUGUAUAGGGGGUCUGAGAGGAUGGUCCCCCACACUGGUACUGAGACACGGACCAGACUCCUACGGGAAGCAGCAGUAGGGAAUAUUGGUCAAUGGACGCAAGUCUGAACCAGCCAUGCCGCGUGAAGGAUGAAGGCCCUAUGGGUCGUAAACUUCUUUUAUUAGGGAAGAAAAAGCGGGAUGCGUCCUGUACUGACGGUACUUAAUGAAUAAGGAUCGGCUAACUUCGUGCCAGCAGCCGCAGUAA